CAGCUUUCAUGGAGGCGAUAUGGUUCAAUCAUCUCUUCAAAGAAUUUCCAGCUGAAACAGGAAUUACAAAGGAGGUCUUGCUGCAGGCACUAGCUGGACCAAUCACCUCACUGAUACGGUUUUACUGAUGGCUUUAAUGCAAUGGAUAAACAGGUGAUACAAAUUGCCCGAGACAAGGACCUAAAGGAAACACUCAGAAUCAGGUGACUGGAGGGUCUAGGUUCAGGAGCCUGUUUGAAUAGCCAAGACUGAGCAGACUCUGGACAGGAAGCAGAGUACACUUCCCAGCAGGUCCUUGAGCAACUCUAAGGCUUUUUUUACCCAGUUAUAAGUCUGUAGAUCUUCCUGGCACCUGUGGGAGUUGCAUGCACAGCCAGAUGUAAUAGUCUCUGCAGGUGAAAACUCUCAAAAUACAAGUCUGUGUACAAGCAUGGCUUCAGGGAGAAGGAAGCUGAAUUAACCUCUGGAAGCCCUAGCUUGGGGUGCCUGUGCCUACAGCACUGUGGUGUGCCAGCUGCUCUCAGGUGGUCUCUUCCAAAUCAAAUUCGAGUGAACAGGAAUUGGAGCUACUCCACAUCUUGGAAAAUGACGCUGUGGUGGUGGUGAGUUCAACUUUGUCUCUGGAGUAAAACCAAGUAUAAGGAAAUGGUUAGUUUAAUUUUACCUGGAAGACUUUGGGUGCGCUGACAAGA